rnacentral:rRNA from 1 species
UUGCGUAGGUGGUUAUACAAGCGAAUAGUGAAAUCUGGCGGCUCAACCGUACAGGCUAUUAUUCGAACUGUAUAACUCGAGAAUGGUAGAGGUAACUGGAAUUUCUUGUGUAGGAGUGAAAUCCGUAGAUAUAAGAAGGAACACCAAUGGCGUAGGCAGGUUACUGGACCAUUUCUGACACUGAGGCACGAAAGCGUGGGGAGCGAACC